rnacentral:lncRNA from 1 species
GAGUCGACGUCAUCCUGGAUUUAGUUCCUGGUAAUAUGCAGAUGACAAACAGAACCAGAUUUGGCCCUUUCUUUUCCUUUGGGUGGGGGAAGAGGGUUGGGGGGAGGGGGAGAGGUGCCAAGGGGAGGGGGUUACAAGGCCUGAAAAGAGAUUGUGGAUUGCGAAUUAAUGAAAUUAACCUAAUCUUUUCCAUUCGGCAGCCGGGCCGCGGGCCGGCCGAGCUGGGCGGGCGGCCUAAUUGCCUUGGUUAAUCUCAUUAAUUCCUUUGUGCCGCCGCAGUUAACAACUCCCUCCGCCCGAGCUCUCCACCCCCACCCUUUUUUCUCAGAUUGGGUCCUAUUAUUGGGUGCGAUUUCCUCUGCCUGUAGCUCAAAUUCAUUGUGGACGAUUUUACUUUGGGGCUACUUUUUUCCCCCUUUCGGAAUUGGUUUUGUUUUAGAAAAUGUGAGGGGCUGCAUCCCCUCUCAAGCAGGAUUGAAAAUUCCACCACUCCUCCGCGCCCCCACGUACUCACCGCCUGAUUUACCUCUUUUUUAAAUCUUGAGUUUCUCUCCCGAAUGGAACUUGUUAACCCCCCCAAAAAACUUUUGGUUUUGUAAAAUCCAAAUUUUGUAAAGGCAAAAACGACUAAAGGAGGGGUGCAUCGUGCUUCUUAAAAAGAUUUUUUUUUCCAGCCACUCUGGGUCUGAAAACUACCAUGGCAGUCCCUAGGUCCUACACAGCGAAGACCAAAUUCAGCCGCUCUUUAAAAUUCGCCACCAAGAGUUGCAGUCUGAAGCGGUGCUUCUAGCUGCUCCCAGCGUGGGUGUCGGUAGUUUUUGUGCUUUUAAAAAAUUAGUUUUGGAAAUGUGGUGCCUUCUCUCCCAAACUAUUUUUUUGAUUUUCAAUCCAGAUGGGGUCUUUGGGACUUCCCUAUCUUCUUCCCCAAUAAUUGGGUCGCAUUUUUCCUUACGACCUGCUGGCUGCCGGUAGGCCUGCCCUUCCGCCUGGCAGGCCCAGAGUGGAUUCCCUGGGCCGCAGUGGCCUGGACGAUGGCCGGGUCUGAUAGCGGCAGGCGGCCGCGAUGAUUUGCGGGAUUCUCGGCAUGGCACGGCCAGCCUGCCCGAGCCACGGGAGGCGCAGCCAGCCCACCACUCACGGCAAGCAGGCGGCCGAGCGCCCUUCGAGAAGGUAGGCGACGGUACGCGCGGAACAAAAGCAGUCCCCCAGAUCCUGUGGACCGGGUGCAAGCUCCCGGCUUGCAACUCAGGCCACUCCAGGGGAAGGGGCAGUACCCGACCCAGGCGAUACCCCCGAGAGCCGGAGAGGGAGAUGGGGUUGCGGGAGACCUCGGGUUUCCUGAAGGAAGUCCGCCUUUAACUCACACCUAUUUUUCGCGAUUUCUCUCAGGCUAAUUAACCAAGGGACCCCGCAAAGUUGUCUGAAGUCGCCGCCGUAAGGCUAAGUAAGUGGGCUGCCCACUCCCCGGCUCAGGGGCAAAGGGGAAAGCCCACUUGUCAAUUUCUGUUCGGGUUUCAAAGAGCCAUUGCACGGAGGUUUAGUCCUGUCCGAGGGCACUACUGUGGCGGCGCGCAGAAGCGGCCCAGUGGAGCCAGGCGGCGACGUUUCUCCUCCUAGGCCUCCCAGCGUGGACCUCUGUGUCCUCACGGCCACCAGCUUGUGGCCUGAGAGUUGCUCCUUCCAGUGCUGCGCAAACUAGAGGUGGUUGUAAAUGGGGAUUAGGACAUGACGGAGAUGGGUCUCAAUUUGGGGAAGUGAAUAGAGUUUUCCUUUUUUUCUUUUUUAACAAUAAAAACAAAGAGGGAGUGUGACCCUCCCCUUAGAGAGGUCAGGUCUAGGGUAAGAAGUGAGGCACCUUCCAUCUCCCACUGACUAGGAUGAAGUCUUUUUUAUUGUUGUUCCGUUCUCAGAGACUUAAGUCACCAUGCUCCAGGGCAGAUACUCCCCCACCAAUCUUUCCCAGGUUUAAAGCUACAGGGCAGUUGAUGGACGACAACUAGAGGCUGCAACUUAUCAGUGACUGCCUGCGUUUGUGUUGGAGGCUGGGUGUGCGCUGCGGUGCGCGUGUGAGUGGAUCUUUUAAGACCUUUGUCUGAGCCGGGCAGAGGCACAAGUGCCACCUGACGCUUGGGGCAGAUUCCUCGUCCUGUUCUUGCAAAGAUGCCAAAUCAGGAGAGUGUCAAGAUUUCAACCGCAGACCUAAAAAAAGUGUCUCCAUGUUUUUAAAAGUAUCAGACAACCACCUCCACACACCCCUCCGUCUCCCCUUCCACCUGGAACAUUGUUCUUUUUAAUAACCAGGUUUAGCAAACUGCUAUACUGCGCCUGUGCUUUCCUGCAGCCCUCCGCUGUACCAGCUGAGCCCUGUACAGAAUCUGAGCGUCAGAGUUGCAGACCCAACCUUGCCACCUUGCAAAUCAUCCCUUCUCUGGAGGCCUCAGGAUUUUAGUUGAUCAAACCAACACCAACAUUCAUUGGGUCCCUUUGCAACCCUAACAUUUAAUGAGACUUGGUAAUUGUCAUCCGUUCGCCAAGGAGGUUGGGGAUGAACUUGGGGGCAUUUUCUUGUUUAUUUUUCAUUGAGACAAAGGAGUGUGCUGUCCCCACCUCCGCCCCCAGACAAGGACAGGGUUCCUACAUCAGCUGGGUCUAAAAUAAGGAAAAGCGAGUGCUGCCGCAGAGGGGACUUUCCGGGAAGGGGGUCACAGGAACCCCAAGGCCACACAGCUCCAGACACUCUGCCGGAGCUCUAGGGGAGCUCACCCCUGCGCGGCGGGACCUCCCCCAUCGGGUUGCCCCUUCAAUCUGCAGCCGCGCGGAGGCAGGCCCCGGGAAAGGCAGUCGGCGCUCGGUGCUCGCACUGCGCCUCGGCGGGCGGAAACUCACAAGUGUCCUCAACGUGCUAAACAAACCAUCAGGGCCCCGCAUCGCCUGGCGCAAUUGGAAUAACAAAUGCGACGCACGCAAAUUGUCCACCUCGUGUUGCUAAGCGAUUGUUUGUCGGCCCCGCACGCACAGCUCAGCAUGGGAGGACCGCGAGCGUCCAGAGGCAGCCGGCGAGCGCUUAGGUCGGAAAUGCAGUAAACAUGCCGCUGAUUUUCCCUAUUAUCACCCAAACACGAUUUCACACAAAGCAAUCACCACGCAGAAGUCUAUGAAAAUGUGUUUGUUGAGGAGUCACUCGCCCCAGUAAUAGUCCUCAUUUUUAAGAUAUUAAAGAAUAGCUCAGCGGAUUCCACAUGCAUAAGGUCUAUUUGCCGUUCGGCAUCUGUCACGGCGCUUUUGCACUGCGGUCAUCACUAAAUUGAUUCAUAGAGUGUAGAUUAAAUUGCUUCUCUGAUUUAAAACAGUGUCCAACUUUGGAGUAUGCGUGUGAGUAUCUUCUCCCGCCCCAAGGUAUUUUUGUCAGGGAGAAAACUGUCGCCCCACUAUCCUUACACCCCAUUCCGCAUAACUGUAAAAAAAUAAUGCAUCUUCGACCCCAACUUCUUACGGUUCGUUUCAGGAACUUUCUUAAUUCUCUCCGUCUCCUGCCCGGCCACAGAGCAGAGUUCACAAUCGGAUGCGUUUAAGUCGGAUUUUUCGUGUCAUGUGCAAAAAGCCGGUGUGUCCUUUUCAAGGUACGGAGCCCUCAUCGGAGGGCGCAUUAGCGGGGUCAGAGGAAUUAGGAGCAAUGCGCAGAGCCCCCUGCAGCCCGCGUGCUGCGCCGAGACCUCAGCCGUCCUCACUGAGCGGAAUGGUUGUGUUGUUUGUAUUGGGACUUUUAAAAAAUCCAGUCUCAAAGCUAAGUGCUCAAACCCCGUUCCAUGGCUCUGCUGCUUUCUGGAGGACAUCUCCGGUAGCCCCAGGGGAUUGUCCGUGUGAGGUUGGGUGGGUGGAGUAGAGCCAGAGGCGCAAAUGCCUCCUGGCUAAGGGGCAGCGCGCAUUAGAGCUGGGUCUCCUGCUUUCGGAGCGGAGGGCGUAAGGGAGCUUUCUAGCUGAUUUUUUGCUAGAAGUUUUCCAACGCUCCAAAUAAAAGCACCCGAUCCCCUAAGGACGAAAUAAUCAAGGUGUUAGGGAAGCUCAACAGAAGAGAAGAGACGAGAAGAGAAGAGAAGAGAAGAAGGGGCUAUCGAAAAAUGACGUGUUCCCAAGGCCUUAGAAAAAUAAAUAAAUAAAUAAAUAAAUAAAUAAAUAGCUUGGACUUUCCGGGGUUGCAGAAAUCCGAUUUCAGCCGGGCUAUUUACCAAAAUUUGUUUCAAAAUGACUGCACCUUUGCUUUUGCAAGUCACAGAAUGCAAAUGACGAUAAUUUGUUCUCAGAAGAAGUUUCUCUUGAAAUGAUUAGCAAAGUCAGUCAUUUGAAAAUUAGAACGAAGCCCUUCGCUAACUGAUAUCUGCUUCUAAAGUUUUCAUUCAUGUAAACCUCAUUAAUGAAGAUCUUUUAUUUAAACGUCAAGGGGAUUUGAAAUUUAGAGUAAAUUAUGAAGCUUGUAUGUCUAGCCAAGUCAUGGGUCAAAUGCAUUUGUGAAAAACUGCUAAAGAGCAUAUGGUUUUGAAUUUUUCUACAAUGACUAGUGUUUAAAUAAAUUGCUUGUACUGCUUAACUU